rnacentral:rRNA from 1 species
UAAUAGCUCACUGGUCGAGUCGGCCUGCGCGGAAGAUGUAACGGGGCUAAACCAUGCACCGAAGCUGCGGCAGCGAACGUAUCACCCAAGACAACUUUACGGAGUUGACGAUUGACGGAGCGAAGCGACGUCAAAGCGUUCAUUAAAGUCGAGUUGGCUUAGGGAUACGUUCGUUGGGUAGGGGAGCGUUCUGUAAGCCUGUGAAGGUGUGUCGUGAGGCAUGCUGGAGGUAUCAGAAGUGCGAAUGCUGACAUAAGUAACGAUAAAGCGGGUGAAAAGCCCGCUCGCCGGAAGACCAAGGGUUCCUGUCCAACGUUAAUCGGGGCAGGGUGAGUCGACCCCUAAGGCGAGGCCGAAAGGCGUAGUCGAUGGGAAACGGGUUAAUAUUCCCGUACUUGGUGUUACUGCGAAGGGGGGACGGAGAAGGCUAUGUUGGCCGGGCGACGGUUGUCCCGGUUUAAGCGUGUAGGUGUGUGUUCCAGGUAAAUCCGGUUCACUUUAACACUGAGGCGUGACGACGAGGCACUACGGUGCUGAAGCAACAAAUGCCCUGCUUCCAGGAAAAGCCUCUAAGCAUCAGGUAACAUCAAAUCGUACCCCAAACCGACACAGGUGGUCAGGUAGAGAAUACCAAGGCGCUUGAGAGAACUCGGGUGAAGGAACUAGGCAAAAUGGUGCCGUAACUUCGGGAGAAGGCACGCUGACAUGUAGGUGAAGUGAUUUACUCAUGGAGCUGAAGUCAGUCGAAGAUACCAGCUGGCUGCAACUGUUUAUUAAAAACACAGCACUGUGCAAACACGAAAGUGGACGUAUACGGUGUGACGCCUGCCCGGUGCCGGAAGGUUAAUUGAUGGGGUCAGCGCAAGCGAAGCUCCUGAUCGAAGCCCCGGUAAACGGCGGCCGUAACUAUAACGGUCCUAAGGUAGCGAAAUUCCUUGUCGGGUAAGUUCCGACCUGCACGAAUGGCGUAAUGAUGGCCAGGCUGUCUCCACCCGAGACUCAGUGAAAUUGAACUCGCUGUGAAGAUGCAGUGUACCCGCGGCAAGACGGAAAGACCCCGUGAACCUUUACUAUAGCUUGACACUGAACAUUGAGCCUUGAUGUGUAGGAUAGGUGGGAGGCUUUGAAGUGUGGACGCCAGUCUGCAUGGAGCCGACCUUGAAAUACCACCCUUUAAUGUUUGAUGUUCUAACGUGGACCCGUGAUCCGGGUUGCGGACAGUGUCUGGUGGGUAGUUUGACUGGGGCGGUCUCCUCCUAAAGAGUAACGGAGGAGCACGAAGGUUGGCUAAUCCUGGUCGGACAUCAGGAGGUUAGUGCAAUGGCAUAAGCCAGCUUGACUGCGAGCGUGACGGCGCGAGCAGGUGCGAAAGCAGGUCAUAGUGAUCCGGUGGUUCUGAAUGGAAGGGCCAUCGCUCAACGGAUAAAAGGUACUCCGGGGAUAACAGGCUGAUACCGCCCAAGAGUUCAUAUCGACGGCGGUGUUUGGCACCUCGAUGUCGGCUCAUCACAUCCUGGGGCUGAAGUAGGUCCCAAGGGUAUGGCUGUUCGCCAUUUAAAGUGGUACGCGAGCUGGGUUUAGAACGUCGUGAGACAGUUCGGUCCCUAUCUGCCGUGGGCGCUGGAGAACUGAGGGGGGCUGCUCCUAGUACGAGAGGACCGGAGUGGACGCAUCACUGGUGUUCGGGUUGUCAUGCCAAUGGCACUGCCCGGUAGCUAAAUGCGGAAGAGAUAAGUGCUGAAAGCAUCUAAGCACGAAACUUGCCCCGAGAUGAGUUCUCCCUGAGACUUAGAGUCUCCUGAAGGAACGUUGAAGACGACGACGUUGAUAGGCCGGGUGUGUAAGCGCAGCGAUGCGUUGAGCUAACCGGUACUAAUGAACCGUGAGGCUUAACCUU